rnacentral:rRNA from 1 species
UACAGAGGUCCCAAGCGUUGUUCGGAUUCACUGGGCGUAAAGGGUGCGUAGGCGGUCGGGUAAGUCUGAUGUGAAAUCUCGCAGCUUAACUGCGAAACUGCAUUGGAUACUAUCCGGCUCGAGGAAUGGAGGGGAGACUGGAAUACUUGGUGUAGCAGUGAAAUGCGUAGAUAUCAAGUGGAACACCAGUGGCGAAGGCGAGUCUCUGGACAUUUCCUGACGCUGAGGCACGAAAGCCAGGGGAGCAAACAGG